UCUCCGUUGGUGAACCAGCGGAGGGAUCAUUACAGGACUCGCAAGACUCCUUACACCCUGUGAACCUUACUGUAUACGCGUUGCUUCGGCGGGUCCGCCCGCCGGCAGCAUACCACAUUCUGUUUCUCUGCGUUGGCAUCUCGAGAGAAAAGCAAAUAAGUUAAAACUUUCAACAACGGAUCUCUUGGUUCUG
rnacentral:misc_RNA from 1 species